rnacentral:rRNA from 1 species
GAUGAACGCUGGCGGCGUGCUUAACACAUGCAAGUCGAACGAGAAAUGUAGACGGAAACCUUCGGGCGGAAGCCUUCAUUUCGAGUGGCGGACGGGUGAGUAACGCGUGGGUAACCUGCCUCAUACAGGGGGAUAACAGUUGGAAACGACUGUUAAUACCGCAUAAGACCACAGCAUCGCAUGAUGCGGGGGUAAAAACUCCGGUGGUAUGAGAUGGACCCGCGUUCGAUUAGCCAGUUGGCGGGGUAACGGCCCACCAAAGCGACGAUCGAUAGCCGAUCUGAGAGGAUGACCGGCCACAUUGGGACUGAGACACGGCCCAAACUCCUACGGGAGGCAGCAGUAGGGAAUAUUGCACAAUGGGGGAAACCCUGAUGCAGCGACGCCGCGUGAGUGAAGAAGUACUUCGGUAUGUAAAGCUCUAUCAGCAGGGAAGAAAAUGACGGUACCUGAGUAAGAAGCCCCGGCUAACUACGUG